rnacentral:rRNA from 1 species
AGUGAACGCUGGCGGUAGGCCUAACACGUGCAAGUCGAACGGCAGCACAGUAAGAGCUUGCUCUUACGGGUGGCGAGUGGCGGACGGGUGAGGCAUACAUCGGAAUCUACUUUUUCGUGGGGGAUAACGUAGGGAAACUUACGCUAAUACCGCAUACGACCUACGGGUGAAAGCAGGGGAUCUUCGGACCUUGCGCGAUUGAAUGAGCCGAUGUCGGAUUAGCUAGUUGGCGGGGUAAAGGCCCACCAAGGCGACGAUCCGUAGCUGGUCUGAGAGGAUGAUCAGCCACACUGGAACUGAGACACGGUCCAGACUCCUACGGGAGGCAGCAGUGGGGAAUAUUGGACAAUGGGCGCAAGCCUGAUCCAGCCAUACCGCGUGGGUGAAGAAGGCCUUCGGGUUGUAAAGCCCUUUUGUUGGGAAAGAAAAGCAGCAGGUUAAUACCCCGCUGUUCUGACGGUACCCAAAGAAUAAGCACCGGCUAACUUCGUG